AUGUCAUCCUUGCCCUCUCAUACUUCUUCUUUGGUCUUAGGUAUAGGUACCCAGACAAUAUAUUUUGAGAGAUUCCACAGAGAAGAGAAAAUUGCAUUUUUGGUUUGUACAGCCCUCAAUGGAGAGCAUGCAAAGGAGCCAGUUAUCCUAUGGCAAUCCAAGAAUUUUCCUAACAUUCCACUGGGUAAGGGAAGAAACAGAGAAUCUGAGCUUGGAAUUCUUUUCUUAAUAGAUUUUCCAAGAGAAGGCAAAGAUGUUUUUUCAUGGAGGAAGCUCUGAUACGUGUUUGAAGACCUUUGAAGGCAUGUUCCCAAUUAUAAAACUUAAAACAAAUCAUAAUUAAUAUCCACUAUUUCCUCUUCUAUAAUUUAUCUUGUGCACUGAAACAAACUAUUAAAUUAUGACUUGAAAAUAUUUUAACACUUUGGAGAAGAUCUCACAUCAUUUUAGGAGUGGACCUGCCUGGGACAUACUCACUCCUGUCUCAAUAGGAAGCCACAUAAGUUUCCUUCCACCAUAAGUAUCCUCCACAUCACGGAGGAUAUGCUACAUUACUCAGAGUCUAUUGAUUCAAAUGUUAAUGACAUGCACCGUAAGUUUCAGGCACCAUAAGUUUCCUUCCUUAUGAAAAACUGCUUCUCGGAGAUCUAAACUACCUCUUACCUCUUAAAUCUUUUGAUAAAUUAUCUAAAGUUUGAAACAACAAAGAGAGUAUUGAAAAGUGUGGGGGACAGUUUAGAGAGGAUUUGUAGGUAAUCUCCUCAUGUGGUGUCCCUGAAUUCCAAAUAGAAAUCAUAAAAAAGUGAUGCUAUCCAAAGUCAGAUGCUUUUAGCAACUGUGUAAGAGUGAAAGGCUACACUAUUGAUUUACAACACUGGUUUACCCUAUCUUCAUCUUGACUCUACACAAUAUUGAAGCCGCCAUGAAAUAUUGUCUGAAACCUAAAGAUUGUACUACUGACCCUCAAGAUCUACGUGAGUGUGACUAGGCUGUCAGAGAUUUAAAUCGGCUUGUGCAUAUUUUAAAGAUUUCUGUGAAACUGGUUAUUUUGGCAAAGGGUAUUGCUAAAUAUGUGAAAAAUUGGUUAGGCAAUGCUUAUUGACUAGAGUGUUUUACUAGUAAACCGUUGACAUUUAAUGUUCAUUCUUAGACUUUACUCUGCACCGCCACUUGUGCUUAUGGGCCAACCUGAUGCUGUGUUAUGGCAACUUGUCCCUGCAUCAAGUAUUGACUUGUAGCUUUGGCUGAUAUCCACUGUUUUGGUCCAGGAAGUAGUGGA
rnacentral:lncRNA from 1 species